UACACUCCUACGGGAGGCAGCAGUGGGGAAUUUUGGACAAUGGGCGCAAGCCUGAUCCAGCCAUGCCGCGUGCGGGAAGAAAGCCUUCGGGUUGUAAACCGCUUUUGUCAGGGAAGAAAAGGUUCUGGCUAAUACCUGGGACUCAUGACGGUACCUGAAGAAUAAGCACCGGCUAACUACGUGCCAGCAGCCGCGGUAAUACGUAGGGUGCAAGCGUUAAUCGGAAUUACUGGGCGUAAAGCGUGCGCAGGCGGUUAUGCAAGACAGAGGUGAAAUCCCCGGGCUCAACCUGGGAACUGCCUUUGUGACUGCAUGGCUAGAGUACGGUAGAGGGGGAUGGAAUUCCGCGUGUAGCAGUGAAAUGCGUAGAUAUGCGGAGGAACACCGAUGGCGAAGGCAAUCCCCUGGACCUGUACUGACGCUCAUGCACGAAAGCGUGGGGAGCAAACAGGAUUAGAAACCCUAGUAGUCCCA
rnacentral:rRNA from 1 species